UGAAGCCCUCCUACCUUAUGUGUGCUUGGAUGGCAUAGGGCCCCUUCUUAGCCUCUNAAAUUUUGGAUCACUGGAUCAGAGGCUAUGACUUUUCAAAGGAUGAUAGAGCUUGAGAACCAGAGCUCCAUGCAAUCACUUGCUCUGUGAUCUCAUCCUCUUCUCUGCAUCUCCAAAUUCUGUCAGUGCCAAGAAGCUGCCUCACAUGUUGCCAGUCUGGAAGGUUCUUCUGGAGCCAGGGAGAUGACUCAAUGAUCAAUGAGAGAUGACUCAGCAAUUAAGAUCUACUGCCCNUUCAGAACAUCUGGGUUCAGUUCCCAGCAUUCCCAACUGGGGAUGGCAACCAGCGGAUCACAGUGUGGCUUCUAUGGGAAAGUGCACUCAUGAAAGUACCUGCGGGGAGAUACUUUGAAAAUGCAAAUCUUUUUGAAGUGGUUUGGUGACUUUCCAUGAGCAGACAACCUGAGUUUGAUCCUGUGACCUAAAUCAUGGGAAGAUAGAACAACCAAUUUCUGCAAGUUGCCCUCUGACCUCAUGCUAGGGUAGCUCAGAAUCCUACAAGCAAAUCCCUCUGCCUCAAACACAUUCCAGGAGAACAAAGGAGUGAUCCAAGCAUGGAUAUUAAACACUUUCAGCUCCACUGGUUUGCAGUCCCCCUCUCACCCAGGAAUAACUGAGUCCAGAGGGAUGAGAUAAGUGGUGACUGACGUGAAGGAGAGGUCCGGAUCCUAUUUCCCAGAGAAGUUCAUUUCGACACCAAGAAAAUAGAAGUAGUGAACGACCGCUUGUGCCACUCACAGGAGUAAGA